rnacentral:rRNA from 1 species
AAUCUAUCGUGCAAACACCGAGAACCUACUUAUGCCCUCUCACAAGCGGUACGUCCCCUUGGGGAGUUGCCUUUGUGAGUGCGCAGGUCAGGGGCUGGCUCCUUUUGGUGUCAGUUGACUUGACUGGGCGGGUCCAAUAUCAAUUGGGGCCUGUCUGCCUUUUAGGCGGUCAGGUCUACCGGUUGUGAGGGGUGGCUUUCAACAACCUCAAAACUAUUUUCUGAAGACAGUUCUACUGGCUGGCUUUGUCGGCUGUAGACUGAAUAACUAAAGAC